UACGUAGGGUGCAAGCGUUGUCCGGAAUUAUUGGGCGUAAAGAGCUCGUAGGCGGCCUGUCGCGUCGACUGUGAAAACCCAGGGCUCAACCCUGGGCCUGCAGUCGAUACGGGCAGGCUAGAGUGCAGUAGGGGAGACUGGAAUUCCUGGUGUAGCGGUGAAAUGCGCAGAUAUCAGGAGGAACACCGGUGGCGAAGGCGGGUCUCUGGGACGGUACUGACGCUGAGACGCGAAAGCGUGGGGAGCGAACAGG
rnacentral:rRNA from 1 species